rnacentral:lncRNA from 1 species
AACUGUGGCUUUAUAAAUUUUAGUUUUCAUUUCUUAUUUUUCAGAGUAAAUAAAAUUUGUAAGAAAUCCAGAUUGCCUUUUCUAAUUAUAAAGGAUGCUAUGAGAGCUGUUCAGGUGCUCUCUUCAGGACCAAUACACUUACCACUCCCUUGGUUACUAGGCAUGGAGCUACUGAGACCUGGAACUACCUGUCCAGGCUAUAAUGCUUCAUAGUAAGUGGAUGAAUAUGGAAGCUGAUGGAAAGGCUUGGUUCAGAACAUUCCUUAAUGUGGUUGGACAUUUACGGACUGUUCAGCUAUAUAAAUAAGGACAUAGAGACUCUGGUAUAUUUUUAAAGCUUAGGGUUUAACUUGGAGCUACCCCCCAGAUCCUCUAACUUGACUAUUUUUCCCAUGUCCCACAAUGACCUGUUGUGCCUCUCCGCUCAUGUUCGCAUCCAUCCACCUCCAAAUCAUCUCCCUAAAUUUCUGCUUCUGCUUUUUUCCCCCAUUGUCCCUUUCUCUCUAACAGAAGUCCUACCUUCCACUUCAUGCCAAGCUAUUGGCCCUCAGAUUUUUAUUAAAACCAAUCAGAGAAUCCCUUAGGCAAGUGAGGAAGGACAGAGACACACCUUUACGCGGUGCACUCCAACACCUCAAGGCCAUCUUAUCUCUACUGUCCCUUAUAGUAUUAGUUGAACACUGGUUGUUACUACAUUAUGGCUCCUUCUAUGCUACCUGAUUCCUCAUCCUGUCCCAUAGGGAAGUCUCUAACUAACAAGCUUUCCAUAUACAUGCUUCACACCCUCUUGGAGCUCUGGAUCCCCAGGAAUCUAAAUGAUCUGAUUCUUGGUUUUAGUUUUUUACUUUCACUGAAAAUUACAGAUGUUGACAGGUGUUAAAAUGUUACCACUUGGAUUCUGUGGCAUUUCCCCCCAUGCUUCAUCUCUAUGUUACCAAAAAGUAGUUCUCCAAAACUCACAACACAUGAAUAUUUAUUCAUGUAAACUUAAAGAACUAACCCGGCAGAAAACAGAUUGUUUCCUAAAAGUAGUUUUGGUACUUUCCCCACUAAGGACCAUAGACAAUUAGAAUAGAUGCUAUUUGAAAGUUUCACCAUUGUGUAUUUUUUUUAAAAAUAUUUAUUUAUUUAUUUAUUUAUUUAUUUAUUUAUUUAUUUAUUUAUUAUAUGUAAGUACACUGUAGUGUGACUUCAGACACUCCAGAAGAGAGCAUCAGAUUUUGUUAUGGAUGAUUGUGAGCCACCAUGUGGUUGCUGGGAUUUGAACUCAGGACCUUUGGAAGAGCAGUCAACUCUCUUAACCACUGAGCCAGCUCACCAGCCCCUGUAUAUUCUUUAUUUUUAUAGACAUUUUAAAUGUUCUAUAAUGUAGUUAAAAUUAGAUGACUAGAUAAUCUAUGAAAACAUAUUUUUAGAGACAGUUAUAAGGAAUAUAUUCAAUUAUAAUAAGUCCAGUCUUAUUUUUGAAUGUGGGUUUAGAACCUUGAUACCAGCACUCACCAUCUUGGUAUUUCUACAUUCUGUCACAGAGCUGAAUUUAAUGUUUAUGUGUCAAGCAACAUCUAUGGGAAAGAAACCCUCCUCCUGGGUUGAUACAAGUUGUGUUGAGGGGGGAGUUUUGUAGACUACUAAGUGAUCAAUAAGGACACUGAGUUAUAGCAGGUUAAGUCUAUAAGCCUGAAACUGCCUCAAAUAUAUGAAUGAGAAUCACAAGACAGAGGUUCUGUGGGUAUUCUUUAUGCCUCUGUAUAAUCCCAUGUGAAAUGUCCCCCUGUAAACUCAUUGUGUUGAAUUAUUGGGGCCAGAUGGUGAUGGUAUUUUGGGAAGUGGUGGAAACCUCUUGGGAGAAUGGUUUUACUAGACAAAGGAGGUUACUGUAGGUGUGCUUUUUGAAGGUCUUCCCUUCUUCCGUCUCUUUGUGCUUGCUGUCUACCAUGAGGUGAAUCACAUUCUUUGCCACCAUGAUAUCGUGACCAAGUACAUAGGGCCAAGCAGACAUGAACUGAACAUUCCUGUUAUAUAACAUUCCCUUGGAAAAGGUUAUAAGGUGUCUGUUUUAUCCAAAUAGAUCAAAGAAAACAGACCAAGAAUAUGAUUCUACUUAAGCAUAGCUUGAUAAACCACUGAAUUAAUUGGGAUUACUUACAGGAACAUGAUUAAGAGUUACUUACAAAAACUUGGGUGACUCAAGCAGUCACAUCACUGAAAACACCACACCAUCAUGGGUGUUAAGAGUUACCUAACGAACUUCCUGAACAACUUGCAGGCAGCUCCACCAAAGACUCUCCUCUUUUCCAGAAAAUGUAUGCUAUUUAUGCUUCCUCAGGGAAGAAACACCAGUUUCAUGGGCUUCUGAAUAUAUGUUUCUUGUGAGUUUCAUGAUUCUUGUGCCUCUCCCAAAUGUUUCAAUAUGCAGAAAGUAGCAAUAUCUUUGAAACCAUAAACUAAAAUAAAGAAUUUCUUCAUU